rnacentral:rRNA from 1 species
UACGUAGGGGACAAGCGUUGUCCGGAUUUACUGGGCGUAAAGAGCGCGCAGGCGGUCGUUCAAGGCGAGUGUGAAAGCCCCCGGCUCAACUGGGGAGGGUCACUCGAUACUGAUCGACUUGAAGGCAGGAGAGGGAAGCGGAAUUCCCGGUGUAGUGGUGAAAUGCGUAGAUAUCGGGAGGAACACCAGUGGCGAAGGCGGCUUCCUGGCCUGCUCUUGACGCUGAGGCGCGAAAGCUAGGGUAGCAAACGGG